rnacentral:rRNA from 1 species
UACGUAGGGGGCAAGCGUUGUCCGGAUUUAUUGGGCGUAAAGAGCGUGUAGGCGGCCUUACAGGUCAGCUGUGAAAACUCGAGGCUCAACCUCGAGACGUCGGUUGAAACCGUAUGGCUAGAGUCCGGAAGAGGAGAGUGGAAUUCCCGGUGUAGAGGUGAAAUUCUUAGAUAUGACACAGAACACCAAUUGCGAAGGCAGCUCGCUAAACUGUAACUGACGCUGAGGCACGAAAGCGUGGGGAUCAA